AGAUUUUGAAUUGAAAUUGUGCUGUCCAAAAACCUGAUGUGAAAUGGUUUCCUUAAACUUUAAUUAAAUUGUGUUAAUUAAGCAUUGUAUAAUUUAAUUUCGUCGUAUACGUAAGAAAAUUCCAAUUUAGAAAUGAAGAUUUAUAGAUUAGAUUUCCAGUCCGAUCAGUUCUAUCCAUGACUGUGAGAACUUAAAAUGUCAAUUAGAGGUUCUGAAAUGACUUAUUUAAAUAUCAUUACUAAAAUAAAGUAAAAUAGUUUGAUCCAGUCCUAAACUUAUAGUUUACGACAGAAUUAUCGGACUGCAUGCAUGAUCAAUGUACAUAUUUUAUUAUUUUAUUAUUAAACUGGUUUAAAAUAUCGCAUACAAUAACACAAAGCUAAAUUACUACAUACAAUUUACAAAGAUUAGUUACUAGAUAAAACAUCAUCCGUUGUUACUAGAGUUAAACAUGUCUACAGCAUACGGUAUUGGACUGAAUUUAAAUCUAUUUGUCCUACUAGUAAAGUUAUAAAAAAGAUCUUUAUUAGAUCUGGUAUUUCUUGUUAUUAUCUGACACUUCCUUGGUGGGAGCAAGUGGUGAAGUUUGUGCUUUUCUUCU